rnacentral:rRNA from 1 species
AACGCUGGCGGCGUGCCUAAUACAUGCAAGUAGAACGCUGAAGGAGGAGCUUGCUCUUCUGGAUGAGUUGCGAACGGGUGAGUAACGCGUAGGUAACCUGCCUGGUAGCGGGGGAUAACUAUUGGAAACGAUAGCUAAUACCGCAUGACAACAGUUAUUGCAUGAUAACUGUUUAAAAGGGGCAACUGCUCCACUACCAGAUGGACCUGCGUUGUAUUAGCUAGUUGGUGAGGUAACGGCUCACCAAGGCGACGAUACAUAGCCGACCUGAGAGGGUGAUCGGCCACACUGGGACUGAGACACGGCCCAGACUCCUACGGGAGGCAGCAGUAGGGAAUCUUCGGCAAUGGACGGAAGUCUGACCGAGCAACGCCGCGUGAGUGAAGAAGGUUUUCGGAUCGUAAAGCUCUGUUGUAAGAGAAGAACGAGUGUGAGAGUGGAAAGUUCACACUGUGACGGUAGCUUACCAGAAAGGGACGGCUAACUACGUG